rnacentral:rRNA from 1 species
GAUGAACGCUGGCGGCGUGCCUAAUACAUGCAAGUCGAGCGAACGGACGAGAAGCUUGCUUUUCUGAUGUUAGCGGCGGACGGGUGAGUAACACGUGGAUAACCUACCUAUAAGACUGGGAUAACUUCGGGAAACCGGAGCUAAUACCGGAUAAUAUUUUGAACCGCAUGGUUCAAAAGUGAAAGACGGUCUUGCUGUCACUUAUAGAUGGAUCCGCGCUGCAUUAGCUAGUUGGUAAGGUAACGGCUUACCAAGGCAACGAUGCAUAGCCGACCUGAGAGGGUGAUCGGCCACACUGGAACUGAGACGCGGUCCAGACUCCUACGGGAGGCAGCAGUAGGGAAUCUUCCGCAAUGGGCGAAAGCCUGACGGAGCAACGCCGCGUGAGUGAUGAAGGUCUUCGGAUCGUAAAACGCUGUUAUUAGGGAAGAACAUAUGUGUAAGUAACUGUGCACAUCUUGACGGUACCUAAUCAGAAAGCCACGGCUAACUACGU